rnacentral:rRNA from 1 species
AUGGCGCACAACGCAUCGGCGGCGACGACGGCGCAGAAGCGCAAGUACACCGAGGAGGAGGAGACGGCCGGCUUGUGCGCCAACGGCUGCGGCUUCUUCGGCGCCGCCGCCACCGGCAACAUGUGCUCCAAGUGCUACCGCGACCACGUUCACGCCGCCACCGCCGACACCGCGGCGGCGGGGAGCGUCUUCAUCGACCCUGCUGGUUCGACCGCGCCGCCUCCGGCGAAGAAGGCCAGGAUGAUCGUCGCCGUCCCGUCCUCUGAUGGUGCGGCCGCCUCCUCCACCGCUGUGGCGGUUGACCCCGCCGUGACGCCCAUGAAGCAGCCGGCGGUGGCGGCGAACCGGUGCGCGGCGUGCCGCAAGAAGGUUGGGCUGCUGGGGUUCCGAUGCCGCUGCGAGGGCACCUUCUGCAGCGUGCACCGCUACUCGGAGAAGCACGACUGUGGAUUCGACUACAAGGCCGCCGGCCAGGAGCAGAUCGCCAAGCACAACCCGCUCGUGGUUGCGGACAAGAUGACCGGAAGGAUUUGA